GGGGAUUUAGCUCAGUGGUAGAGCGCUUGACUAUCAAGCACAAGGCCCUGGGUUCAGUCCUCA
rnacentral:tRNA from 1 species